ACCGUUUAUUAGCAUACUCUUGUUUGGUUUUGUAUAAACGUAUUUUCAUAGGCGUACGAGAAGGAGGAGCUGAGGGAAGGAGGCUGCAGCGCCCCCUCCCCUACCCACCCCCACAUUCAGUAUUUAGCCGGUGAGAUUUUACUUGAAGCUUGGGCAAUUUGGGCCCAGGGUCUGUUCAUAUGACCCGGGCCAGCCCGCCUAGCU